AUUGAACGCUGGCGGCAGGCUUAACACAUGCAAGUCGAACGAGUGGCGGACGGGUGAGUAAUGCUUGGGAAUCUAGCUUAUGGAGGGGGAUAACUACGGGAAACUGUAGCUAAUACCGCGUACCAUAGGAUGAGCCCAAGUGGGAUUAGGUAGUUGGUGAGGUAAAGGCUCACCAAGCCGACGAUCUCUAGCUGGUCUGAGAGGAUGACCAGCCACACUGGGACUGAGACACUGCACAGACUCCUACGGGAGGCAGAAGUGGGGAAGAUUGCGCAAGGGGGGCAACCCUGACGGAGCCAUGCCGCGUGAAUGAAGAAGGCUGUCGGUUUGUAAAGUUCUUUCAGCGGGGAGGCUUUACCCGCAGAAGAAGCACCGGCUAACUCCGUGCCAGCAGCCGCGGUAAUA
rnacentral:rRNA from 1 species